rnacentral:rRNA from 1 species
CGUGUAGGCGGUCCGCUAAGUCUGAUGUGAAAGCCCGGGGCUCACCCCCGGAAGGGCAUUGGAAACUGACGGACUCGAGUCCCGAAGAGGAGGGUGGAAUUCCUGGUGUAGCGGUGAAAUGCGUAGAUAUCAGGAGGAACACCGGUGGCGAAGGCGGCCCUCUGGACGGUGACUGACGCUGAGACGCGAAAGCGUGGGGGAGAAACA